CCUACGGGUGGCAGCAGUAGGGAAUCUUUCACAAUGGGCGAAAGCCUGAUGGAGCAACGCCGCGUGCAGGAUGAAGGCCUUCUGGUUGUAAACUUCUUUUAUAAGCGAGAAAUAUGAUGGUAACUUAUGAAUAAUGCUCGGCUCACUCCGUGCCAGCAGCCGCGGUCCUACGUAGGAUCCGAGCAUUAUCCGGAGUGACUGGGUGUAAAGAGUUGCGUAGGUGGCAUAAUAAGGAGAUAGUGAAAUCUGGUGGCUCAACCAUUCAGACUAUUAGCUAAACUGUUAAGCUCGAGACCGUUAGGGGUAACUGGAAUUUCUAGUGUAGGAGUGAAAUCCGUAGAUAUUAGAAGGAACACCAAUAGCGUAGGCAGGUUGCUGGGACGGGUCUGACACUAAGGCACGAAAGCGUAGGGAGCAAACGGGAUUAGAUACCCUAGUAGUC
rnacentral:rRNA from 1 species